rnacentral:rRNA from 1 species
GGAUGAACGCUGGCGGCGUGCUUAACACAUGCAAGUCGAACGAAGCACUUUGAUUUCUUCGGAAUGAGAAGUGACUGAGUGGCGGACGGGUGAGUAACACGUGGGUAAUCUACCUUCGAGUCUGGAAUAACAGUUAGAAAUGAUUGCUAAUGCCGGAUGAAAUUGGGAACGAAAUUUCAUUCUUUAUUAAAAGGAGCCUUUAAAGCUUCGCUUGAAGAUGAGCCUGCGACGUAUUAGCUAGUUGGUGGGGUAAAGGCCUACCAAGUCGACGAUCAGUAGCCGGACUGAGAGGUUGAACGGCCACAUUGGGACUGAGACACGGCCCAGACUCCUACGGGAGGCAGCAGUGGGGAAUAUUGCACAAUGGGGGGAACCCUGAUGCAGCGAUGCCGCGUGGAGGAAGAAGGUUUUCGGAUUGUAAACUCCUUUUAUCAGGGACGAUAAUGACGGUACCUGAAGAAAAAGCUCCGGCCAACUACGUG